CCUACGGGAGGCAGCAGUGGGGAAUAUUGGACAAUGGGGGGAACCCUGAUCCAGCCAUGCCGCGUGUGUGAAGAAGGCCCUCGGGUUGUAAAGCACUUUCAGUGAGGAAGAACGCCUGGUGGUUAAUACCCAUCAGGAAAGACAUCACUCACAGAAGAAGCACCGGCUAACUCCGUGCCAGCAGCCGCGGUAAUACGGAGGGUGCGAGCGUUAAUCGGAAUUACUGGGCGUAAAGCGCGCGUAGGUGGCUUGAUAAGCCGGUUGUGAAAGCCCCGGGCUCAACCUGGGAACGGCAUCCGGAACUGUCAAGCUAGAGUGCCGGAGAGGAAGGUAGAAUUCCCGGUGUAGCGGUGAAAUGCGUAGAGAUCGGGAGGAAUACCAGUGGCGAAGGAGGCCUUCUGGACUGACACUGACACUGAGGUGCGAAAGCGUGGGUAGCAAACAGGAUUAGAUACCCCAGUAGUC
rnacentral:rRNA from 1 species